UACCGUAUACGCCCUUCGGGGGAAAGAAUUUCGGUGAGGGAUCGGCCCGCGUUAGAUUAGUUAGUUGGUGGGGUAAUGGCCUACCAAGACUACGAUCUAUAGCUGGUUUGAGAGGAUGAUCAGCAACACUGGGACUGAGACACGGCCCAGACUCCUACGGGAGGCAGCAGUGGGGAAUCUUAGACAAUGGGGGCAACCCUGAUCUAGCGAUGCCGCGUGAGUGAUGAAGGCCUUAGGGUCGUAAAGCUCUUUCGCCUGUGAUGAUAAUGACAGUAGCAGGUAAAGAAACCCCGGCUAACUCCGUGCCAGCAGCCGCGGUAAUACGGAGGGGGUUAGCGUUGUUCGGAAUUACUGGGCGUAAAGCGCACGUAGGCGGAUUAGUCAGUCAGAGGUGAAAUCCCAGGGCUCAACCCUGGAACUGCCUUUGAUACUGCUAGUCUUGAGUUCGAGAGAGGUAAGUGGAAUUCCGAGUGUAGAGGUGAAAUUCGUAGAUAUUCGGAGGAACACCAGUGGCGAAGGCGGCUUACUGGCUCGAUACUGACGCUGAGGUGCGAAAGUGUGGGGAGCAAACAGGAUUAGAUACCCUGGUAGUCCACACCGUAAACGAUGAAUGCCAGUCGUCGGGUAGCAUGCUAUUCGGUGACACACCUAACGGAUUAAGCAUUCCGCCUGGAGGAGUACGGUCGCCAAGAUUAAAACUCCAAAGGGAUUUGACGGGGGGCCC
rnacentral:rRNA from 1 species